UGCAAUUAUGGAUUUGAAGUAUAGAAUUACUUGAUGUAAUUAAUUUUCUCUUUUUUCCUGUUUUCCUCAGAACACCCAUACUCUAGAAAUAUGUUGUCAAACUCUUUUAUAGUGAAAGUGGCAUAGUUUAGCUACAGCCAAGGUCCUGGAAAAUCACUGGGGAUUGUAUUCUGCUGUCCUCAAUCAAGAAGAGCAACACCUUUAUGACACAGCUGGUCACACUGGAAGAAAUAAGGGUGGUUGUAUGCUUUUCUUACAAAUUCUGGUCUGGAGAUGGGGACCUACAUUUGUUAAGGGGAACAGAUACUGCCUUGUAUUUCAAUGCUGAGUAGAGGAGGGGUUGCUUGGUUUAGAAGGAGGAAGUUCCUGGACAAUGUGAACUGAUCAGCUCAUCAGCUAAAAUAAUGUAGUGAGAAUGUUACUGUACUUCUGAUUUUUUUUUUUUUAUUUUUUUUUAACUUAUCUCCCUCUGAUCAUGCAGUGUUGCCAUUAAAGCUGUAGUGUAACCUCUGCUUGUCAUGUCUGAGCUCCCUCUGGUGUGGAGAGAACAGGUACUGCUUGCACAGAUGUGAACAGAAGUCGACUUGAGGGGUUUCUCAAAUGGUGGGUCAGCUUUGCUGGUGUUUAUUAUUCUGAAAGCAACCAUAAGGGGCUGCAAGGCCCAAAGGGAUGAAGAAAUGUGGUGAAUUCUGCUAUGAUUUAUAUGGAACUCUGUGUAAGAAAGAGGUGCAAAGUGUGUUGUACACAGGCAGGGUACACUUCCAAAUUGUGUUACAAGCUGGAUUUGAAUUUUGUCCUGAUUCUAAGACAGGAAGACUAACAAGACCAGCAAGAGAGUCAUUUGCAGAAGACGUUGGACCUAUAUUAUAGGCUUAUUUCAGAAUGUUUACCUGAUCUCCUUAUAGUUCUUUAACAGAAGGUAUGUGUGGGUUUUAAGGAGAUGAAGAAACCUUUGAAAUGACCUGCUUUUGUGAAAGAAAGGAGAUGCUACUAUUUGGCUUUUCUUCCCCAUGGUGGCCUUUGUCCUUUCUGAAGAGUAAGACAUUUCACAGUGCAUACCAGGGGCAUAUUGAAAGGAAUGCGGGAUGAAAAAGCAGCCAAAUUUUUGCUUCAGCCUCGCUGGAAAGCGGCUAUGAAAUGAGAAACAAAGGCUGUGGCUGGCCACACCUCGUGAAGAUGGCAGCACCGAAGGGGCUGUGGCAAACUCCAUCUCUCCCCUCCCUACACCAGGCACUGGUGCAGAGCGCGGCUUGCCCACCUCAGGCAUUGUAAUUCUGCUACAGCCACGCGUGCCAUCGGAAUUCAGCUGUCAUAUUCUGCGAGCUGGAAUUCAUCAAAGCGUACUCACCAGCCUUUUAAUUAGUGUUAGAUUAGCAUUUUAAGAUAUGGGUAAAUUCCCAAGUCUAACUUUGUUUAAAGGUGCAUAUUCAAUACAGUAGCCAGGAAAUCAUGUAUUCUCAUGGACUUAUUACCUUAGUAAUGUAAUGCUGUGAGGGAAAGAGGCAGAUAAUACUUCCGACAAAUAUUAAAUGCUAUUUGUAUGGCUACUGCCUGUGAAUUUAAACAGAAAAUCGUUCCUCACGCCUUACCAUGAAACACACGCAAAUUUCUUUUGUGGCUUUCAUGUUUCAUUAAAGCUUUGUAUGUGGAAGAGAGGAAAAUCUAAAUUGCUACUUAAUUAAAGGGAUACUGUCAGAUUAAGUAUAUUUUGAAGAAAUGAACUUUGCUUUUUACCUGGGUUGUCAGUAACACCUAGGAUUAUUAAAAAUGAAAUAUUUUUUAACAUCUAAUAUACUCCUUACCAUUUAUCAACCUGAGUCUGUUCUCUUUGGCUGAAACUGAAACUGUCUCUUGCUUUUUCCUGUAGUCAGGUUCAUUGUCUGGAUCCUAUUAACUAACUCAAUAUUGGAGGUUGUAAAUACAAGGAGGUGCAGCUUACAUCUAAACCAAAAAUAAAAAAAAAAUAAUAAAUUAAAUUAAAAAAUAA
rnacentral:lncRNA from 1 species